GUGCACGAGAAUUAGAUUCCUGUUUUUUGUGUAGGUUUCAUUCAUCAAUGUAGCUCCUCCAUCUCCUCCCAUUCCCUCACUUGUGUGGAUUCUGAAGGUUUGGCUCUCUGUUCUUGGUGUCCUCUGCGUUAGCACGCAUGUUAUUGUGGUUUUUUUUCCUUCUUUUUUUUCUGAAACUUUGAUUCUUUCUGCGGUCCGGAAUGCGGAGCCCCCGAUCGUGCCGCCCGCGGUGAGCGGCGGAUGAUGGCGCCGCCGUGCUGCUGCGCUAUGCAGUCCGCCAGGAGGAGGGAGCCAGUGCCGCUGUGGGAGAGAAGGAAGCGUCGGUGACAGCGGCAAGGCCUCGCCGCCGGAGAUCAUGGAUAGGGUUAUGGAGAUGUUGGUGGAGCAGAGGAUGUCGCAGUGAUAAAGAGUAUGAGAUGCUAACGGGACGACCAUUUAGCAUGCUCAGCCGAGACAUAGAGAAUCCAUGAUGCGGUGGAGAAACAUUACAGCAUCCACAUUGAGCACAUGUUCCCGGAUGCCGCAGAGGUGCAGGCCAUCCUCGUUCGACAAAGAUGGGCACCAGGAGUCGUGCAGAGCCAGGAAGGAUGUUGAAAGGUACCUGUUCAUGCUUGGAUCACCAAACAGAGGAGGAAGGAUCAAUCUCUUGUUCCCAGCGAUUGUUAUUCAGGUUGAUUAUGUUUUUGGAGACGUCAAUGGUCUUCUUGGUAGCUUGAGAAAAUGGAACCCGGUCGCGAAUGUGGAUGGAUGGCAAGGAGCUGCAUCGUCUAACAGUGCCUUACCACCAAGUGGCCGAUGUGACUUUACAAUCACGUCACAGGCGAUGGAAGCCUCGUAUAUGGGGGGGGGGGGGGGGAGUCGGUUGGCCAACGAGUUGGGGAAGCUCUGCGCUCAUGUUGCGGUAGCCAUUUGCGCAGAAAGAACUUGUCGUCUUCUUCCACAAGAACACAUCUCAGCACAUCAAAUGUCCCUCUGAAAGGUGGGAUGUCGAUUCGCCUACUGGCAUUUGUCGAUGCUCUUCGAUGAUGUUAGACCAUGAUCAUCUGGAUGUCGGAUGAUUACAUCGUAUCAUCAAACCCUGUGGCUUGGUUAGCUUCUGCUACUGAGUUCCCCCUUUCUACUUCACUUCUCUCGGUUUCCUUCGAAUGGCUUUGGAGGUCGUACAUGGAGAAGGAUAUAUUCUACUGUAUAGUGAAUCAAACUGACGUCUGUCAUCGUAUUUUUAAGAGUGAUCUUAAUUUUGGCUUCCUGAA